UGUGACCUGAUGUGUUGACCUGGUGUCUAU
rnacentral:piRNA from 1 species